rnacentral:rRNA from 1 species
GGGUUGUGAGGUUAAGCGACUAAGCGUACACGGUGGAUGCCCUGGCAGUCAGAGGCGAUGAAGGACGUGCUAAUCUGCGAUAAGCGUCGGUAAGGUGAUAUGAACCGUUAUAACCGGCGAUUUCCGAAUGGGGAAACCCAGUGUGUUUCGACACACUAUCAUUAACUGAAUCCAUAGGUUAAUGAGGCGAACCGGGGGAACUGAAACAUCUAAGUACCCCGAGGAAAAGAAAUCAACCGAGAUUCCCCCAGUAGCGGCGAGCGAACGGGGAGGAGCCCAGAGCCUGAAUCAGUGUGUGUGUUAGUGGAAGCGUCUGGAAAGGCGCGCGAUACAGGGUGACAGCCCCGUACACAAAAAUACACAUAUUGUGAGCUCGACGAGUAGGGCGGGACACGUGGUAUCCUGUCUGAAUAUGGGGGGACCAUCCUCCAAGGCUAAAUACUCCUGACUGACCGAUAGUGAACCAGUACCGUGAGGGAAAGGCGAAAAGAACCCCGGCGAGGGGAGUGAAAAAGAACCUGAAACCGUGUACGUACAAGCAGUGGGAGCACGCUUAGGCGUGUGACUGCGUACCUUUUGUAUAAUGGGUCAGCGACUUAUAUUCUGUAGCAAGGUUAACCGAAUAGGGGAGCCGAAGGGAAACCGAGUCUUAACUGGGCGUUAAGUUGCAGGGUAUAGACCCGAAACCCGGUGAUCUAGCCAUGGGCAGGUUGAAGGUUGGGUAACACUAACUGGAGGACCGAACCGACUAAUGUUGAAAAAUUAGCGGAUGACUUGUGGCUGGGGGUGAAAGGCCAAUCAAACCGGGAGAUAGCUGGUUCUCCCCGAAAGCUAUUUAGGUAGCGCCUCGUGAAUUCAUCUCCGGGGGUAGAGCACUGUUUCGGCAAGGGGGUCAUCCCGACUUACCAACCCGAUGCAAACUGCGAAUACCGGAGAAUGUUAUCACGGGAGACACACGGCGGGUGCUAACGUCCGUCGUGAAGAGGGAAACAACCCAGACCGCCAGCUAAGGUCCCAAAGUCAUGGUUAAGUGGGAAACGAUGUGGGAAGGCCCAGACAGCCAGGAUGUUGGCUUAGAAGCAGCCAUCAUUUAAAGAAAGCGUAAUAGCUCACUGGUCGAGUCGGCCUGCGCGGAAGAUGUAACGGGGCUAAACCAUGCACCGAAGCUGCGGCAGCGACGCUUAUGCGUUGUUGGGUAGGGGAGCGUUCUGUAAGCCUGCGAAGGUGUGCUGUGAGGCAUGCUGGAGGUAUCAGAAGUGCGAAUGCUGACAUAAGUAACGAUAAAGCGGGUGAAAAGCCCGCUCGCCGGAAGACCAAGGGUUCCUGUCCAACGUUAAUCGGGGCAGGGUGAGUCGACCCCUAAGGCGAGGCCGAAAGGCGUAGUCGAUGGGAAACAGGUUAAUAUUCCUGUACUUGGUAUUACUGCGAAGGGGGGACGGAGAAGGCUAUGUUGGCCGGGCGACGGUUGUCCCGGUUUAAGCGUGUAGGCUGGUUUUCCAGGCAAAUCCGGAAAAUCAAGGCUGAGGCGUGAUGACGAGGCACUACGGUGCUGAAGCAACAAAUGCCCUGCUUCCAGGAAAAGCCUCUAAGCAUCAGGUAACAUCAAAUCGUACCCCAAACCGACACAGGUGGUCAGGUAGAGAAUACCAAGGCGCUUGAGAGAACUCGGGUGAAGGAACUAGGCAAAAUGGUGCCGUAACUUCGGGAGAAGGCACGCUGAUAUGUAGGUGAAGUCCCUUGCGGAUGGAGCUGAAAUCAGUCGAAGAUACCAGCUGGCUGCAACUGUUUAUUAAAACACAGCACUGUGCAAACAACGAAAGUGGACGUAUACGGUGUAGACGCCUGCCCGGUGCCGGAAGGUUAAUUGAUGGGGUCAGCGCAAGCGAAGCUCUUGAUCGAAGCCCCGGUAAACGGCGGCCGUAACUAUAACGGUCCUAAGGUAGCGAAAUUCCUUGUCGGGUAAGUUCCGACCUGCACGAAUGGCGUAAUGAUGGCCAGGCUGUCUCCACCCGAGACUCAGUGAAAUUGAACUCGCUGUGAAGAUGCAGUGUACCCGCGGCAAGACGGAAAGACCCCGUGAACCUUUACUAUAGCUUGACACUGAACAUUGAGCCUUGAUGUGUAGGAUAGGUGGGAGGCUUUGAAGUGUGGACGCCAGUCUGCAUGGAGCCGGCCUUGAAAUACCACCCUUUAAUGUUUGAUGUUCUAACGUGGACCCGUGAUCCGGGUUGCGGACAGUGUCUGGUGGGUAGUUUGACUGGGGCGGUCUCCUCCUAAAGAGUAACGGAGGAGCACGAAGGUUGGCUAAUCUGGUCGGACAUCAGGAGGUUAGUGCAAUGGCAUAAGCCAGCUUGACUGCGAGCGUGACGGCGCGAGCAGGUGCGAAAGCAGGUCAUAGUGAUCCGGUGGUUCUGAAUGGAAGGGCCAUCGCUCAACGGAUAAAAGGUACUCCGGGGAUAACAGGCUGAUACCGCCCAAGAGUUCAUAUCGACGGCGGUGUUUGGCACCUCGAUGUCGGCUCAUCACAUCCUCGGGCUGAAGUAGGUCCCAAGGGUAUGGCUGUUCGCCAUUUAAAGUGGUACGCGAGCUGGGUUUAGAACGUCGUGAGACAGUUCGGUCCCUAUCUGCCGUGGGCGCUGGAGAACUGAGGGGGGCUGCUCCUAGUACGAGAGGACCGGAGUGGACGCAUCACUGGUGUUCGGGUUGUCAUGCCAAUGGCACUGCCCGGUAGCUAAAUGCGGAAGAGAUAAGUGCUGAAAGCAUCUAAGCACGAAACUUGCCCCGAGAUGAGUUCUCCCUGACCCUUUAAGGGUCCUGAAGGAACGUUGAAGACGACGACGUUGAUAGGCCGGGUGUGUAAGCGCAGCGAUGCGUUGAGCUAACCGGUACUAAUGAACCGUGAGGCUUAACCUUACAACGCCGAAGGUGUUU